UACAGAGGGGGCAAGCGUUAUUCGGAAUUAUUGGGCGUAAAGAGCUCGUAGGCGGUUUGUCGCGUCUGCUGUGAAAUCCCGAGGCUCAACCUCGGGUCUGCAGUGGGUACGGGCAGACUGGAGUGCGGUAGGGGAGAAUGGAAUUCCUGGUGUAGCGGUGGAAUGCGCAGAUAUCAGGAGGAACACCGAUGGCGAAGGCAGUUCUCUGGGCCGUAACUGACGCUGAGGAGCGAAAGCGUGGGGAGCGAACAGG
rnacentral:rRNA from 1 species